rnacentral:lncRNA from 1 species
GUGAAAACUAAGAAAUAAGGUAAUGUUCUGCUUUUUAAAAUUAGCUAAGGCCUGUAGAUUCCUGUGAUUACAAGACAGAUUUGGAUGAGUAAGAAAAAUCCCCCUCUGUGUGCUUAAAAAUUGUUUCUACCAAGGAUCUCACAAGUUUGAGGGUGGGCUAUGCUAGAUAACACCAGUUUCAGGAAGUCGUGUACUGUAUCAUGCAGGAAAUGGUGUGACUAUUUAAAAUAAGCUUUCUGGAAAUCCCAAGAAAUCCUAACAGGCAGCAAAAAUUAGAAGAAAGUUCCUGUAUUCAUGUUUUAAAGGGUGCAUAAAAGGAAUAAGGGAGACAGAAAGAUGUGCAUCAAAGAAGCCUUAAGCCUUCUUUAAGGUUAAAAGAAGAUCGCUGCCUGACUGAACAAAUGGGACUAUGAGGCAGUGAGGAAAGGAAGUAAAUAAAGGUUGAACAAUACCCUUGCUCAUAAUACGAAGGGAAAAUGGUCAAGGAAAAUUUAGAAGGAAGAAAAGAGGAGCCAAUGAUAGCAAAUUGGCCAGAUGUAGCUCAUCAUCAGUUGGAGCUGAUUUCAGAAGAGGUGUUAGAGUCUGCUCGUCCAAGAGAGAAUCUGAUCCAGGCAUCAAAGGGAGCCAUGAGAGAUGUGAGCGGUCUCACCAAUGUUCUCAAUUGUUCACUGAGCCUGCUGUUCAGUUCUGACAAAGUGGUGUCAAUGAUGUGGAACAAGAGCUACUUUAGAUAGCUUUUAAAUGACUAUAUUCUAGACUGUCCAUCCAAGCCUACUGUCCUACUGUUGGCCUUCCAGACAACACUGACUUUGUACCUUAAUGGAGACAAAGAAAAAAGAAUGAAUGUUAAACACAGCACAGAGACAGAGUUAUAUUAAGAAACAGGAGAAAUUUAGUAACCAAUUACCUACUGAAUAUUCAUUUGACAAAUCCACUUCAGUAGACUAAGUGGUGAUAAUCUUUGCCAUGGUUCCUUCGAAGAUCUUCAAACUUCCCGUCAUUCAGGGAGAACACAUUCUCAGUUAUUGGGAUGGUAUUCAAUGUUAUGUCUGUUUUCUGAGUAAUACAAUGGAAAGGAAUGUUAGUAAGUGUAAAAAUGGUUAAAUCAUUCAUCGCUAUUACUUAAACUACCUGAGACCUAAAAGUUUUGGCAGCAUUCAAUCCAACAACAGGGUGUCAACAAUCACUUAAGAGUGUGUUGUCUUACAGUAUCUUUAAAAGGUAGUUGAGAACUUGGGACAUUAAUGUAGUAUAUUUAUGCCCAUACCUUCCAUCUUCUCUAGUUAAAAAUCUGUUCAUUUACUGAUAGGUGAAGUCUUUAUAUGUGGAAAUGAACAGAGAACAAAGUAUUCAACAAAUACAUGUUGCUUUUAUUGGGGUGCAAUUCAGCUUGUUCCAGAAGGUCACCAACUUCUGGGCACUGCAUUUCAAAGCCUGAAUGGAAAAUAAGUGGUAAGAGGCUUGUGCUGAUUCUCAGGGCAAUGAUUACAUCACCUUUUUCAUUUUUUUUUCUGUGAACAGGCCAUAGCAUGCUCCGACAUACAUGUAAACUUAAGCUUGCAAUUGUAAAUAUUGACAAAGUACAACUUCCUGCACAGCCUGAAUAAUAAAUUGAGAAUUCUGUGAUCA